GAGAGAGGCGCAUCAGGACUGUUGUAGCUGCUAGCCUAACUGUUCAUAGUUCAGUGUUCCUUGUCCCGCUCUUACUCUAAUGUGUAUUUGCAUCUGAGGCCAGCAACAAAGGAAUUUCCUCAUGAGUUGAGAAGAGAGACUCCAAAAUUAUGACAAUGAGUUUCUUUGGAAAAUUCAAGAACCUACACAGUGGGCCUCCAGCUCCACCCAAAAGAAUAGGGA